rnacentral:rRNA from 1 species
GACGAACGCUGGCGGCGUGCUUAACACAUGCAAGUCGAACGGAAAGGCCCUGCUUUUGUGGGGUGCUCGAGUGGCGAACGGGUGAGUAACACGUGAGUAACCUGCCCUUGACUUUGGGAUAACUUCAGGAAACUGGGGCUAAUACCGGAUCGGAGCUCCUGCUGCAUGGUGGGGGUUGGAAAGUUUCGGCGGUUGGGGAUGGACUCGCGGCUUAUCAGCUUGUUGGUGGGGUAGUGGCUUACCAAGGCUUUGACGGGUAGCCGGCCUGAGAGGGUGACCGGCCACAUUGGGACUGAGAUACGGCCCAGACUCCUACGGGAGGUAGCAGUGGGGAAUAUUGCACAAUGGGCGGAAGCCUGAUGCAGCAACGCCGCGGGCGGGAUGACGGCCUUCGGGUUGUAAACCGCUUUCGCCUGUGACGAAGCGUGAGUGACGGUAAUGGGUAAAGAAGCACCGGCUAACUACGUG